GGGCCCGCACAAGCGGUGGAGCAUGUGGUUUAAUUCGACGCAACGCGAAGAACCUUACCCAGGCUCGAACGGUAGAUGACAUCCUACGAAAGUAGGCUCCCGCAAGGGCAUCUAUCGAGGUGCUGCAUGGCUGUCGUCAGCUCGUGUCGUGAGAUGUUGGGUUAAGUCCCGCAACGAGCGCAACCCUUGUCUUCUGUUGCCAUCGGGUUAUGCCGGGCACUCUGAAGAGACUGCCGGUGACAAACCGGAGGAAGGUGGGGAUGACGUCAAGUCAGCAUGGCCUUUAUGUCUGGGGCCACACACGUGCUACAAUGGCCGAUACAAACCGUCGCGAGCCCGCAAGGGGGAGCUAAUCGGAGAAAGUCGGUCUCAGUUCGGAUUGUAGGCUGCAACUCGCCUGCAUGAAGUUGGAAUCGCUAGUAAUCGCGGAUCAGCACGCCGCGGUGAAUACGUUCCCGGGCCUU
rnacentral:rRNA from 1 species